GAUGAACGCUGGCGGCGUGCCUAAUACAUGCAAGUCGAGCGAACAGACGAGAAGCUUGCUCUUCUGACGUUAGCGGCGGACGGGUGAGUAACACGUGGAUAACCUACCUAUAAGACUGGGAUAACUUCGGGAAACCGGAGCUAAUACCGGAUAAUAUAUUGAACCGCAUGGUUCAAUAGUGAAAGACGGUUUUGCUGUCACUUAUAGAUGGAUCCGCGCUGCAUUAGCUAGUUGGUAAGGUAACGGCUUACCAAGGCAACGAUGCGUAGCCGACCUGAGAGGGUGAUCGGCCACACUGGAACUGAGACACGGUCCAGACUCCUACGGGAGGCAGCAGUAGGGAAUCUUCCGCAAUGGGCGAAAGCCUGACGGAGCAACGCCGCGUGAGUGAUGAAGGUCUUCGGAUCGUAAAACUCUGUUAUUAGGGAAGAACAAAUGUGUAAGUAACUAUGCACGUCUUGACGGUACCUAAUCAGAAAGCCACGGCUAACUACGUG
rnacentral:rRNA from 1 species